rnacentral:rRNA from 1 species
AUUGAACGCUGGCGGCAUGCCUUACACAUGCAAGUCGAACGGUAACGCGGGGUAACCUGGCGACGAGUGGCGAACGGGUGAGUAAUGCAUCGGAACGUGCCCAGUAGUGGGGGAUAGCCCGGCGAAAGCCGGAUUAAUACCGCAUACGACCUACGGGUGAAAGCGGGGGACCGCAAGGCCUCGCGCUAUUGGAGCGGCCGAUGUCAGAUUAGCUAGUUGGUGGGGUAAAGGCCUACCAAGGCGACGAUCUGUAUCUGGUCUGAGAGGACGACCAGCCACUCUGGGACUGAGACACGGCCCAGACUCCUACGGGAGGCAGCAGUGGGGAAUUUUGGACAAUGGGGGCAACCCUGAUCCAGCCAUGCCGCGUGCGGGAAGAAGGCCUUCGGGUUGUAAACCGCUUUUGUCGGGGAAGAAACGGUCUGCGCUAAUACCGCGGACUAAUGACGGUACCCGAAGAAUAAGCACCGGCUAACUUCGUGCCAGCCGCCGCCGUAACAC